GCUCCUGUGGCUCAAAGGAGUAGAGCACUGGCCCCAAUAUGCCAGGAGUGGUGGGUUCAAACCCAGCCUGGGCCA
rnacentral:tRNA from 1 species